GACGAACGCUGGCGGCGUGCUUAACACAUGCCAGUCGAACGGGAUUUAGUAAACAGAAGCCUCGGUGGAAGAUUACUAAUGAGAGUGGCGAACGGGUGAGUAACGCGUGAGCAACCUGCCUAUGACAGUGGGAUAGCCUCGGGAAGCCGGGAUUAAUACCGCAUAAAAUCGUAGAAACACAUGUUUUAACGGUCAAAGAUUUAUCGGUCAUAGAUGGGCUCGCGUCUGAUUAGCUAGUUGGUGAGAUAACAGCCCACCAAGGCGACGAUCAGUAGCCGGUCUGAGAGGAUGAACGGCCACAUUGGAACUGAGACACGGUCCAAACUCCUACGGGAGGCAGCAGUGGGGAAUAUUGCACAAUGGGGGAAACCCUGAUGCAGCGACGCCGCGUGAACGAAGAAGGUAUUCGUAUCGUAAAGUUCUGUCCUAUGGGAAGAUAAUGACAGUACCAUAGAAGAAAGCUCCGGCUAAAUACGUG
rnacentral:rRNA from 1 species